UACGAAGGGGGCUAGCGUUGCUCGGAAUCACUGGGCGUAAAGGGUGCGUAGGCGGGUCUUUAAGUCAGGGGUGAAAUCCUGGAGCUCAACUCCAGAACUGCCUUUGAUACUGAAGAUCUUGAGUCCGGGAGAGGUGAGUGGAACUGCGAGUGUAGAGGUGAAAUUCGUAGAUAUUCGCAAGAACACCAGUGGCGAAGGCGGCUCACUGGCCCGGUACUGACGCUGAGGCACGAAGGCGUGGGGAGCAAACAGG
rnacentral:rRNA from 1 species